UAAGUGUUCGAUGCUUAUUGCACCACAUGUGUUUUUCUUUGAAACAAACUUGCUUUGGCGGUGGGCCCAGCCUGCCGCCAGAGGUCUAAACUUACAACCAAUUUUUUAUUAACUUGUCACACCAGAUUAUUACUUAAUAGUCAAAACUUUCAACAACGGAUCUCUUGGUUCUCGCAUCGAUGAAGAACGCAGCGAAAUGCGAUACGUAAUAUGAAUUGCAGAUAUUCGUGAAUCAUCGAAUCUUUGAACGCACAUUGCGCCCUCUGGUAUUCCGGAGGGCAUGCCUGUUUGAGCGUCGUUUCUCCCUCAAACCGCUGGGUUUGGUGUUGAGCAAUACGACUUGGGUUUGCUUGAAAGACGGUAGUGGUAAGGCGGGAUCGCUUUGACAAUGGCUUAGGUCUAACCAAAAACAUUGCUUGCGGCGGUAACGUCCACCACGUAUAUCUUCAAACUUUGACCUCAAAUCAGGUAGGACUACCCGCUGAACUUAAGCAUAUCAAUAAGCGGAGGAA
rnacentral:rRNA from 1 species